AGCCCAAUUCUCAAACACCCAGCCCACCUUUCCCUCUGUAAGCCGGACCAAAUCUUUAUCAACAACAGAGAAAUCCCAGUUUCUCCAACUUUCUCUUAGCGAUGCACGUCAAUUUUGACGAUGCAGAGAUGCGUGAUUUGUACUGGCGAUGCCUGACGCGCCUCCACCUUCCUCACGCGAAGGCAAUCUCAUGGUAAGCGUCAAUCUUCACGGAGCGGCAACAACGGCUCCAAACGACGUCCCAUUUCCGUCAAAAUACACAGAAAAGAAGCCAAGGACAACAUCUUCUUCGUCGUUUUAUCCCUCUCCAGCGGCCUGACGAAGCACAUCAAAAGCUACUGCUGUAGCAAACCUGCGCUUUAGUCUUUGGUGGCGUGAGAUGGAGACACGUAUAACUCCAAGGACGAUCGAUUCCAUCCGAGAAGUCGAUUUUCCUUCCCCUUUCUGGAAUGAAGCUAAAACUUCAGAAAAUGAUGUUUGUCCAAAUUGGUGAUAGAUUUUGAAUUUUCAAUUCAUGGGCCUCAAAUACGGAUUUUUUUCAUUUCCCCCAAAAAAAAUUGGGUAGCCCUAAUCCUUUGCUAUAUAAGGACAUACACAUAUAGACCUAUCGAACUUGUGUUCGAAAUAGAAAUAUUGCCUAGAAUUCCCAGUCUUCAUUUAAAUUCGAGUCACGUAGUGAAGGCAAGUCCCCUUUUCGCAUCGUCUCUAGCUUGCUGCCCCGGAGAAGGUCGAAAACAACAAAAUACAUUGCUGGAAAUGAAAUUGCAGAUCCCCCGAAGUUUAGAAUCAGGAUGUUAUACCCAUUUUAUACACCAAUAUACAAGUCAAAACUUUCAUAUGGGGCCAAUUUCGGAGUGCACGUUGAGAGCAGUAAAUGAAUAUCGCAGGAAAAUAUUUUCACCCCUGAAAAUCCAAAGAACAGGUCGAUAUACUCGCUGUAUACACCUAUAUACGGUUGGAAUUACGACGUACUAGUCUUCGAAAAUGCAGGAGUCCAGAUUUUUGAUAAAAUAUAAGCCAAAAUCGAUUUACAAAGAUGAUGCUGGAAAAAGAAUCCAAAAAGCUACUAGUAUAUAGCGAUAUACAUAAAAUGUAUACGCUGGUUUCUCAAAGGGAAUAGGCCCAAAGCCUUAAUAAUUUCCAGUUGCCAUUUGUUGAAAUUGUGCCCAGAUCCAUUUUGGGUCACUUUAGAUUUAGGACAUGUCAUAAAAUUUUGGCUCAAGGCCCAACUUCAAUAUUUUCCUCCUUUUACUCUUAUUGGUAUUAUCUUGCCUAACUAUCUCUGGGCGAACAGAUAUGUUAUGUGGAAAGAGGUCAACAUAGCUAAGAGGACCAGACUUGAUGAAGGAUCAGAGGGGGCAUGAGUUUUAUUUACCAUCCCCUGCGUGGGACUGCUUUAUUAGUACUUUGUUUUGUAAUUUAUUUUAGAGCUAUUUCUUUAUUUUAUGUUUAUUAGACAUUUUGGAUGCUAUUAAUGAAGUAUUUUGGGGAUACUAAA